rnacentral:rRNA from 1 species
AGUGAACGCUGGCGGUAGGCCUAACACAUGCCAGUCGAACGGCAGCACAGUAAGAGCUUGCUCUUACGGGUGGCGAGUGGCGGACGGGUGAGGAAUACAUCGGAAUCUACUUUUUCGUGGGGGAUAACGUAGGGAAACUUACGCUAAUACCGCAUACGACCUACGGGUGAAAGCAGGGGAUCUUCGGCCCUUGCGCGAUUGUAUGAGCCGAUGUCGGAUUAGCUAGUUGGCGGGGUAAAGGCCCACCAAGGCGACGAUCCGUAGCUGGUCUGAGAGGAUGAUCAGCCACACUGGAACUGAGACACGGUCCAGACUCCUACGGGAGGCAGCAGUGGGGAAUAUUGGACAAUGGGCGCAAGCCUGAUCCAGCCAUACCGCGUGGGUGAAGAAGGCCUUCGGGUUGUAAAGCCCUUUUGUUGGGAAAGAAAAGCAGCAGGUUAAUACCCCGCUGUUCUGACGGUACCCAAAGAAUAAGCACCGGCUAACGUCGUG